rnacentral:rRNA from 1 species
UACGGGGGGGGCAAGCGUUGUUCGGAAUUACUGGGCGUAAAGGGCUCGUAGGCGGCCAACUAAGUCAGACGUGAGAUCCCCCGGCUUAACCAGGGAACUGCGUCUGAUACUGGAUGGCUUGAGUUUGGGAGAGGGAUGCGGAAUUCCAGGUGUAGCGGUGAAAUGCGUAGAUAUCUGGAGGAACACCGGUGGCGAAGGCGACAUCCUGGACCAACACUGACGCUGAGUGAGCGAAAGCCAGGGGAGCAAACGGG